UGAGGAAUAUUGCGCAAUGGGGGAAACCCUGACGCAGCGACGCCGCGUGGAUGAUGAAGGCCUUCGGGUCGUAAAAUCCUGUCAGAUGGAAAGAAGUGUAUGGAUGCUAAUAUCAUCUGUAUUUGACGGUACCAUCAAAGGAAGCACCGGCUAACUCCGUGCCAGCAGCCGCGGUAAUACGGAGGGUGCAAGCGUUGUUCGGAAUUACUGGGCGUAAAGCGCGCGUAGGCGGUUUUAUAUGUCAGAUGUGAAAGUCCACGGCUCAACCAUGGAAGUGCAUUUGAAACUGUAGAACUUGAGUACUGGAGGGGGUGGUGGAAUUCCCGGUGUAGAGGUGAAAUUCGUAGAUAUCGGGAGGAAUACCGGUGGCGAAGGCGACCACCUGGCCAGAUACUGACGCUGAGGUGCGAAAGCGUGGGGAGCAAACA
rnacentral:rRNA from 1 species